rnacentral:lncRNA from 1 species
CAUUUAACCACAUAUGCACUAUGAUUUUCCUCAUCAGGCUCUGCACUGGGCUCCAGAUGUAUGUACCAAGAAGGCAGACAUAGUCUUUUCAUGAAACCCCAGUUCAAAGUGCAGUGGGAGCAUCAGAUGAUUCAACAAGGAAUUGCAAUAAAGUGGAUUGAGUGUUGACAGAGAGAGGACUCUACUACCGAACAGCUCAUCCACCAAGCCUUAGUCUGCUGUGGUUCUCAGACACAAGAUCAAAGGCAGGAAAGAGGAAGAAAAUGUCCUUUUAUGAAAGUGCAGGAAAGCAGGGGAAGUUGGCCAUGGAGAGAGCUCAAAUAGCACUAUACAUCAUACCUAAGAUCUUCAUCAUCAAGGAGUUGAAGGAGUAGAUCUGAGUUCAGGCUUGAGACUUUCUCUGUCACGGUGCAGACAGGGCUUUUUCAGUAAGUCACUUAACUUCUCUCAGCUUCCUUUUACAUGCAGUGAAUAAGGUUCAGACUUUUUCCAAAGGUUUCUG